rnacentral:rRNA from 1 species
AUUGAACGCUGGCGGCAGGCCUAACACAUGCAAGUCGAACGGUAACAGGAAGCAGCUUGCUGCUUCGCUGACGAGUGGCGGACGGGUGAGUAAUGUCUGGGAAACUGCCUGAUGGAGGGGGAUAACUACUGGAAACGGUAGCUAAUACCGCAUAACGUCGCAAGACCAAAGAGGGGGACCUUAGGGCCUCUUGCCAUCGGAUGUGCCCAGAUGGGAUUAGCUAGUAGGUGGGGUAACGGCUCACCUAGGCGACGAUCCCUAGCUGGUCUGAGAGGAUGACCAGCCACCCUGGAACUGAGACACGGUCCAGACUCCUACGGUGGGCAGCAGUGGGGAAUAUUGCACAAUGGGCGCAAGCCUGAUGCAGCCCUGCCGCGUGUAUGAAGAAGGCCUUCGGGUUGUAGAGUACUUUCAGCGGGGAGGAAGGGAGUAAAGUUAAUACCUUUGCUCAUUGACGUUACCCGCAGAAGAAGCACCGGCUAACUCCGUG